UACGGAGGGGGCAAGCGGUUGUCGGAAUUACUGGGCGUAAAGGGCGCGUAGGCGGCCAGUUGCGUCGGGCGGGAAAGCCCCGGGCUCAACCUGGGAGGUGCAGUUGAUACGGGCUGGCUGGAAUCCGGGAGAGGAUGGUGGAAUUCCCAGUGUAGAGGUGAAAUUCGUAGAUAUUGGGUAGAACACCGAUGGCGAGGGCAGCCAUCUGGACCUGGAUUGACGCUGAGCCGCGAAAGCCUGGGGAGCAAACAGG
rnacentral:rRNA from 1 species